AAGACAAAGAUUUGGAAACAAUAUAAAACCCGAAGAAGCUAAAGCUUCAUCAGUUCAGUCCAGCACUCGAAUUAUAUCCUUCAAGAUGAAAUACACAGCCAUUGCAAUUCUCCAAAUUGUUCUUAUGAACACUAUUAAUUGCUGCUUCUUGCCACCACCUGCUCUACCCUGUGGCCUUCCUGCUGCUCCUGCUUUAGGCUGCGGUCUUCCAGCUCUCCCAGCUGCUCCAGCCCUUGGUUGCGCUCCUCCUCCAAUGACAUAUUUACCUAUGCCUUUACCUGCACCAACAUGUGGUAUGCCUCUAUUUUCAAAAAAAUCCUUAUUACUGUCUAAACUGCUGGCUUUGAAAAUGAAAUUGGGACUUGGUCUUUCUGCUCUUGGGGGUUGUGGAUUGCCGCCCUUAGGUUGUGGAUACUAAAAAUAACGUAACUCUUUGUACCCGUUACGUAUGCAACACAUUUUAUAAUGUAUUACCAAAUAUUGUUCGUUUAUUUUUUAAAUAAAUGUAUUUCCUAUCCGAAAUAA